GACGAACGCUGGCGGCGUGCCUAAUACAUGCAAGUAGAACGCAGUUGCGAACGGGUGAGUAACGCGUAGGUAACUGCCUCAUAGCGGGGGAUAACUAUUGGAAACGAUAGCUAAUACCGCAUACUGUGAGAUGGACCUGCGUUUUAUUAGCUAGUUGGUGAGGUAAAGGCUCACCAAGGCGACGAUCCCUAUCCGACCUGAGAGGGGGAUCGGGCAAACCUGGACUGGGACACGGCCCAGACUUCUACGGGAGGCAGCAGUUGGGAAACUGCGGGAAUGGACGGAAAUCUGACCGAGCAAAGCCGGGUGAGUGAAGAAGGUUUUCGGAUCGUAAAGCUCUGUUGUUAGAGAAGCGGUAGCUAACCAGAAAGGGACGGCUAACUACGUGCCAGCAGCCGCGGUAAUAC
rnacentral:rRNA from 1 species